GUGCAAACGUUGCUCGGAAUCAUUGGGCGUAAAGCGCACGUAGGCGGUUCGUUAUGUCGGAUGUGAAAGCCCUUGGCUUAACCGAGGAAGUGCAUCCGAAACUGGCGAGCUAGAGUACGAAAGAGGAUCGCGGAAUUCCCGGUGUAGAGGUGAAAUUCGUAGAUAUCGGGAGGAACACCGGUGGCGAAGGCGGCGAUCUGGGUCGAUACUGACGCUGAGGUGCGAAAGCGUGGGGAGCAAACAGG
rnacentral:rRNA from 1 species